UUUUAUUCAACUCCACAACUGUUGACAGUUGUAUGUGUUUUCCCUUUAUGGCUUUGAUAGUUGUUAUGUUUUGUAUUUGGCUAAUGUUCUCUGUGCUCCUUCCCUUGUGUCCUGCUUAGCAAAAGAUACAGAUAUUGUGGAUGAAGCCAUCUAUUACUUCAAGGCCAAUGUCUUCUUCAAAAACUAUGAAAUUAAGAAUGAAGCUGAUAGGACCUUGAUAUAUAUAACUCUCUACAUUUCUGAAUGUCUGAAGAAACUGCAAAAGUGCAAUUCCAAAAGCCAAGGUGAGAAAGAAAUGUAUACGCUGGGAAUCACUAAUUUUCCCAUUCCUGGAGAGCCUGGUUUUCCACUUAACGCAAUUU
rnacentral:lncRNA from 1 species